rnacentral:rRNA from 1 species
GACGAACGCUGGCGGCGUGCUUAACACAUGCAAGUCGAACGGAAAGGCUCCAGCUUGCUGGAGUACUCGAGUGGCGAACGGGUGAGUAACACGUGGGUAAUCUGCCCUGCACUCUGGGAUAAGCCUGGGAAACUGGGUCUAAUACUGGAUAUGAACUUUCUCCUUAUGGGGUUUGGUGGAAGGUUUUUCGGUGUAGGAUGAGCCCGCGGCCUCUCAGCUUGUUGGUGGGGUGAUGGCCUACCAAGGCGACGACGGGUAGCCGGCCUGAGAGGGUGAUCGGCCACAUUGGGACUGAGAUACGGCCCAGACUCCUACGGGAGGCAGCAGUGGGGAAUAUUGCACAAUGGGCGGAAGCCUGAUGCAGCGACGCCGCGUGAGGGAUGACGGCCUUCGGGUUGUAAACCUCUUUCAGCAGGGACGAAGCGUAAGUGACGGUACCUGCAGAAGAAGCACCGGCUAACUACGUGCCAGCAGCCGCAGUAACAG